CUAAAGCUCCAGAGGAAGCCACGGCUAACUCUGUGCCAGCAGCCGCGGUAAUACAGAGGCGGCAAGCGUUGUUCGGAAUUAUUGGGCGUAAAGAGCACGUAGGCGGCUCUGUAAGUCAGCUGUGAAAGCCUUCUGCUUAACGGAAGAACAGCAGUUGAAACUACAGUGCUUGAGUGCGGGAGGGGAGAGUGGAACUUCUGGUGGAGCGGUGAAAUGCGUAGAUAUCAGAAGGAACGCCGGCGGCGAAAGCGGCUCUCUGGCCCGUAACUGACGCUGAGUGUGCGAAAGCUAGGGGAGCAAACGGGAUUAGAUACCCCGGUAGUCCUAGCCGUAAA
rnacentral:rRNA from 1 species